CCCCCCCCCCCCCCCCCAAAAAAAAUGCUAUUGAAUGAAUAGAAUGGGAAGCUUUUUGGACCAAGACCCAAAAUAUCCUAUAGAGAAAAGAAUGUGGUAGAGUCUACAGAAUCGUCGUAAGAAACAUUAUAAUACGAAUCAUGCGUUUGAUAUUUUUUUCAAUUGUGUAAUUUGAAUAUGUAUUUAUUGCUGUUAAAAUAAUAGUUUAAAUUAAAGAAUAUUUUUUUGUUUCUUUCUUUUGGAGUUAUUAUUAAUAUUUCUUCUUAGUUCAUAAUAAU